rnacentral:rRNA from 1 species
CCUACGGUGUGCAGCAGUGAGGAAUAUUGGUCAAUGGGCGGGAGCCUGAACCAGCCAAGUCGCGUGAGGGAAGACGGUCCUAUGGAUUGUAAACCUCUUUUGCCGGGGAGCAAGCGUGCGUUCGUGAACGCGCGUCGAGAGUACCCGGAGAAAAAGCAUCGGCUAAGUCCGUGCCAGCAGCCGCGGUAAUACGGAGGAUGCGAGCGUUAUCCGGAUUUAUUGGGUUUAAAGGGUGCGUAGGCGGGAUGCCAAGUCAGCGGUAAAAAUGCGUUGCUCAACGCCGUCGAGCCGUUGAAACUGGCGUUCUUGAGUGGGCGAGAAGUAUGCGGAAUGCGUGGUGUAGCGGUGAAAUGCAUAGAUAUCACGCAGAACACCGAUUGCGAAGGCAGCCUUCCGGCGCCCUACUGACGCUGAGGCACGAAAGUGCGGGGAUCGAACAGGAUUAGAUACCCUGUAGUC